ACCCGCUGAACUUAAGCAUAUCAAUAAGCGGAGGAAAAGAAACCAACAGGGAUUGCCUUAGUAACGGCGAGUGAAGCGGCAAGAGCUCAAAUUUGAAAUCUGGCGCAAGCCCGAGUUGUAAUUUGAAGAGGAUGCCUCGGUUGCGGGCGCGGCCCAAGUCUCUUGGAACAGAGCGUCUUGGAGGGUGAGAAUCCCGUACGGCCGUUGCCCGGCACCAUGUGUGGCUCCUUCGAAGAGUCGAGUUGUUUGGGAAUGCAGCUCAAAAUGGGUGGUAGAUUCCAUCUAAAGCUAAAUACUGGCGAGAGACCGAUAGCGCACAAGUAGAGUGAUCGAAAGAUGAAAAGCACUUUGAAAAGAGAGUUAAACAGUACGUGAAAUUGUUGAAAGGGAAGCGCUUGCGAUCAGACUCGCCUGCGGUUGAUCAACGUUCCUUCUGGUUCGUGCACUCUUCCGCCGGCGGGCCAGCAUCGGUCGGGACGGCGGGACAAAGGCGUCGGGAAUGUGGCUCCUCGGAGUGUUAUAGCCCGGCGCGCAAUGCCGCCAGCCCCGACCGAGGUCUGCGCUUCGGCUAGGAUGCUGGCUUAAUGGUCGUAAGCGACCCGUCUUGAAACACGG
rnacentral:rRNA from 1 species